rnacentral:rRNA from 1 species
AUAAUCGUGCUAAUUGUAGGGCUAAUACAUGUUCGAGACCUUCGGGUGGCGUUUAUUAGACCUAAGACCAAUCCGGGUUCUUCCCGGCUUCCGGUGAUUCAUAAUAAACUUGCGAAUCGCAUUUUUUUGCGAUGUAUCAUUCAAGUUUCUGACCUAUCAGCUUUGGACGGUAGGGUAUUGGCCUACCGGGGCAGCGACGGGUAACGGGGAAUUAGGGUUCGAUUCCGGAGAGGGAGCCUGAGAAACGGCUACCACAUCUAAGGAAGGCAGCAGGCGCGCAAAUUACCCAGUCCUGACACAGGGAGGUAGUGA